rnacentral:lncRNA from 1 species
CUCACUCUCGCUUGCACUCUCAUUCUCACCCUUAUUCUCGCUCGCACUCUUAUUCUCAUUCUCACUCUCACUCUCACUCUCACUCUUUUUUUCGCUCACAUUCUUAUUCCCACUCUCAUUCUCACUCUCACUCUCACUCUCGCUCACACUCUCAUUCUCACUCUCACUCUUGUUCACAGUCUUAUUCUCACUCUCAUUCUUAUUCUCGCUCACACUCUCAUUCUCACUCUCAUUCUUAUUUUCACUCACACUCUCAUUCUCAUUCUUCAUCUCCAUUAAUUAGUCUAUUUGUGAGAAAUGAAAAAUAUGAAAGAGAUAAUAGUAAUGAAUGAAAAGUAGAAUAUGAAUAAAACAAA